rnacentral:misc_RNA from 1 species
ACAGUGUCCUACUUUAAGAACAGCGCUUUCCUAGCUCAAUCUCCACAGCUUUACAAGCAGAUGUGUAUAUGUUCUGACUUUGACAAAGUCUACACAGUAGGUGCAGUUUUUAGGGCAGAGGAUUCCAACACCCACAGACACUUGACAGAGUUUGUGGGGCUAGAUCUGGAGAUGUCCUUCAAAUUUCACUACCAUGAAGUGCUGAAGGUCAUCGGAGACAUGUUCAUCAAUAUUUUCAAAGGUCUCAGAGACAACUUUCAGGAGGAAAUAGAAACAGUCAACAGGCAAUAUCCUUCAGAGCCCUUCAAAUUUCUAGAGCCAAGUUUGGUCCUGGAGUACCCAGAAGCUGUGAAGAUGUUGAGAGAGAAUGGGGUGGAGAUGGGGGAUGAGGACGAUUUGAGUACACCGGCCGAGAAACUUCUGGGUCGAUUGGUCAAAGCCAAGUAUGACACAGACUUUUAUAUCCUAGACAAGUUUCCGCUGGCUGUCCGCCCGUUCUAUACCAUGCCGGACCCCAAAAACCCAAAAUACUCCAAUUCUUAUGACAUGUUUAUGAGAGGAGAGGAAAUCUUGUCUGGUGCCCAGAGAAUCCACGACCCAGUUUACUUAACAGAACGAGCCAAGGAACACGGCAUUGGUCUGGAGAGUAUCAAGGCCUACAUAGAUUCCUUUAAGUAUGGAGCCCCGCCUCAUGCUGGUGGCGGUAUUGGCAUGGAAAGAGUGACUAUGUUAUAUCUAGGCCUCGACAAUAUCAGAAAGACAUCUUUAUUCCCAAGGGACCCAAAACGCUUGACGCCUUAAAAACAUCAGAAUAUAGGAAUGAUGUAAUACAAUAUAAGACUACUCUUAAAACUAUAAUAUAUCAAGUCAACUGUGUUGUUAUAAGUAUAGGUACUGAUUAUAUGUCUCAAUUUGUCUACAUUUGGUCUCUGUUAAUUUUUCAUUGUCAGGGAAAAUGUUUUUAAAAGUUCAAUUAAAAUUAAAAUGUAGUGAAUCUAUAUUCUAAAACAUGUUAAAAGUUCAUAGUUAAAUUGUACCAUGUUGAAACUGUGAGGAAAAGUGGCAAAAAAAUUGUGUUUUUGUUUAAUGUGCUUUUAUUCCUGUACUGAGUAUAUGCUGUCAUGUACAUGUAUAUUGAAAAUCAGAUAGAAUAAAAUCUGUGCAAAUGUC